UUUUAUUUGAGAGUUUGAUCCUGGCUCAGGAUGAACGCUGGCGGCGUGCCUAACACAUGCAAGUUGAGCGAUUUACUUCGGUAAAGAGCGGCGGACGGGUGAGUAACGCGUGGGUAACCUACCCUGUACACACGGAUAACAUACCGAAAGGUAUGCUAAUACGGGAUAAUAUAUUUGAGAGGCAUCUCUUGAAUAUCAAAGGUGAGCCAGUACAGGAUGGACCCGCGUCUGAUUAGCUAGUUGGUAAGGUAACGGCUUACCAAGGCGACGAUCAGUAGCCGACCUGAGAGGGUGAUCGGCCACAUUGGAACUGAGACACGGUCCAAACUCCUACGGGAGGCAGCAGUGGGGAAUAUUGCACAAUGGGCGAAAGCCUGAU
rnacentral:rRNA from 1 species